GGAUGGGGGUUCAACCCCUGGCCUCAUUCAGUGAGUUGAGGAUCUGGCACUGCCACACGCUGUGGCACAGGUUGCAGAUGCGGCUCAGAUCUGAUGUUGCCGUGGCUGUGUGUGGAUUCAACCCCUGGCCCAGCAACUUCUACAUGCAGCCACGGGUAUGGUCUUAAAAAAAUUAAAAAUAGAAUGACCAUAGUUCUAUUCCUGGCAUAUAUCUGGACAAAAUUAUAAUUUAAAGAGAAUACAUGCACCUGUCUUCAUAGCAGCACUAUUCACAAUAGCCAAGACAUGGAAACAACCUAAAUGUCCAUUGACAGAUGAAUGGAUAAAGAAGAUGUGGUACAUAUAUGCAAUGGGAUAUUUUAUAAAAAAGUACAAGAUAAUGACAUCUGCUGCAACAUGGAUGCAGUUAGAGAUUCUUAUACUAAGUAAAAUAAGUCGGAAAGACAAAUACCAACUGAAUACCAUAUAUGUUGAAUCUACAGUAUGACACAAAUGAGCCCAUCUGUGAAACAGAGACAGAAUCCCAGAUAUAGUGAACCGACUUGUGAUUACCAAGGGGGGGGUGUGUGGGGAGAGAUGGGCUAGGAUUUAGGCAUUAGAAGAUGAAAGCUAUUGUACAUAGAGUGGAUAAACAACAAGGCCCUACUGUACAGUACUGGUAACUAUAGUCAAUAUUCUGAGAUAAACCACAGCAGAAAAGAAUAUUAAAAAGUAUGGAUGCAUAACUUAAUCACUUUGCUGUACAGCAGAAACUGAUACAAUAUUGCAAAUCAACUAUACUUAAUAAAUAAAUAGAGUUCAUGGUUGUUAUGCUAAUUAAGGAUUGAAAACCUAGAUAUGACUUAAAUGAGUUCAUUGGUUUGAACACUGGUAAUUAAAACAAAUUCCAUUGCUCAUUGUUCAGGAAAGCCUUCAUUUAAUUCAAGUAAAGUUCUGGUAUCCAAGAGUUUCUCAAAGUUCAUUGUCUUUUAUCAGAUUCAGGUGAUUUGAACCUGUCGUAGUGAAACAUAACAUUCAGUUUGUAUAGCUCUAGGUAAAUGCUGCUAUAAGUGGAAAAUUUUCCUAUUUUCUACAUCUUUUUCAUAUCUAACGUUCAGCACUGAGGCAGCAGACAUGACACUACACAUAUUAUUCCCAGGGUUAAAUUUUUCUGCUACGUCUGUGGCAAAACAAAUGCAUUUCUUCCCUAAAAACAUAAAUUCAAUUUGGGAGUGGGGAUAAAGUGAAUAAAAACUGUUUAUUUAUUCGUUCACCCUUUAACACGAAGCAUGUACAGUGGAUGUUAGAUACAACGCUUUGUACCUAUUUUUUGACUAGCUGGAAUUUCCUCUUAUUGCUCAGUCCUCUAUGUCACCGUCUUCCAUUUGUUACCUCUAAUUACUCUACCUUCCACUUGGUGAUUUCGUCCUUGCAUUACUUCCUGAACACACAUGUCUAAUACAUUUGUGUAGUGAGAGUCUUUCAAGAAGCCCAUUCAUGUUAUCUGGGGAAAGAGAACAUGUUUUAUUUAUUUACUUUAUUUUUUGUUUGUUCUUUAAUUUUUUUGUAGUAUUCAGUAAGUCAGAAAGAGAAAGACAAAUACCAUAUGAUAUCGCUUAUAUCUGGAAUCUAACAUACGGCACAAAUGAACCUUUCCCCAGAAAAGAAAAUCAUGGACCUGAAGAAUAGACUUGUGGUUGCCAAGGGGGAGGGGGAGGAAGUGGGAUGGAUUGGGAGCUUGGGGUUAAUAGAUGCAAACCAUUGCUUUUGGAAUGGAUGAGCAAUGAGAUCCUGCUGUGCAGCACUGAGAACUAUGUCUAGUCACUGAUGAGAGAACAUCUUUCAUUUAAUACACGUAUCUAGGGGAAAGUAUGUCUAGCAGGAAGGUUAACCUCUUCCAACCCAUGGAGGCCACUGGUUAUCAACAUCUCUUAACAAUGAGAGGUUCUUUCACUCUUUUAUUCAUUCAACAGUUCUGAGAAAUAAAUGUCAGAUACUCUGUUAAAUAUCAGGAAUGUUCACAUUAAUUCACAUUCCUUUCAGGCUCUGCAAUAAGAAAACUAUAAAGCAAAGUUUUAUGCCAAAUUUCUUAUUUGCUUCAUUUGUUCUCCAGAACUUAGACGCAAGGCUCCUCAGGCCAGAUUCUCAGGACCAUUGCCUCUUCCCACUGGAAUUUGUUACCUACCCAAGGGUUAAGUUGGAGCAGUUCUAAGUAUGCUAGUGGACAUAGCGAUAGCCAACAACAUUUAUAUUUUUAAGCAAUACAUUAGACCACAUUCUACUAAUCAGACAUAAGUGUGGAUACAUCUUAUCCUUGUGGGUGAGCUUCUGCCUUGAGGACCAGUAAAAUAUCACUCCUUGUCACUCAAGUUUUGAUCCAUAGACCUGCAACAUGAGCAGAACCUCGGAUUGUAUUAGAAAUGCAGAAUCUAACGUGAUCCUCAGACCUACUGAAUCGCAAUAUGCAUUUUCACAAAAUCCCCAAGUGAUUUGUAUGUACAUGUAAAUGUAAGAAGCUGCAGUAAAUCACUUUGACUUUUUGAGCUCUUCCUUGUAAGUGAUUAAAGCUCUUUCUUCUACAUCCUUAUGUUAUCAAAUUCAGCAAAAACAGAGAGAGAGGAAAAAGAAAGAAAUACAACUUUGAGUCCAUAGAGGCUGAUACUAGACUUUGUUAGACACUGUUGAUCAAUCUAGGGUUCUAAUGGAAUGGUGGCAAAGAUAAGUGGAAAAAUCCUUUAAAAGUUUUGCCACCUGUUGACAUUAUUGAAAAUACCUCCAAAGCAAUUUGAAAUCCUCAUACAAGAAUAAUGUAGCAUGUCAGUUAGGAGCCUUUAUGAACACUUUAACUAAUUGAUGUUCACCCCUCUAGGCAUCAGAUGCAAUUACUGUGCUACUUGGGGUACAAUUUAACUUGGAGUCAACGUAUUGAAUGCAGCAAGAAUCACAAACAGUAAAGUCAUGGAGAAGUUCCCUUAGAGGGAGAGCAUUUUUCAGUUUUGGAGCACACAGGACACUGGGCCACUGACAUGAGCCCUGAAUCAUACUGCUGAUCAAUUGCAAAGAUGAAAUAACAAACAUGAAAUCCUAUAAUACUAUGUGUGUAUGAUGUGUGGGAAAGUAGCUUACUAUGGAAUUAGUACUGAGACCCCACUAAAAAAUUAUUUUUAGAGCUAAGGUCUCACUUGCCACUACUUAACCCCCCCAAAAUAAUUUGGGUCUUAUGUUUUAUCAGCUACAAACUUGGAUGCUGGCUCUUCCUACUACAGUUUGUUAAUUGCUCAGGAUUGAGGUUUAGCAAUUAUAAGGUUGGUGUGAAGAUAGUAUAUAUGCAAUACUUUGUAGACAAAAACAAGUCAGUGAGUCUGACAGCACAUUAUUCAUUAGACUUAGCAAAAAUAUCUUUUUUAUUUUGAAAUUUAACUUAAUUUUUCUGCAAAGUAAGUACAGCCCAAACUGUACAUGUCGGGAAAAUCUAUGUCAUUUACUCUGAAAUUCUCCAGCAGUUCACAUACCCACAAUAAGUUUCCUAUAUGCAUUCAACAGAAAGUCUGUGUUGCUUUUUUUAUACUGUUUCCAGUUGUCUCUAAACAGAAAUAAUAUUAUUUAUGUGACACAUAAAUCACUUCCACCCACAAAUCUCUUUACUUCUGAAUCCUUAGGCAAGUGUGAUUUAAAGUUCUCACAGCUCUUUUUUUAGAAAAGUGAGCAAAAACAAUAUAUAUGUAAUCUUAAAGUCACUGCCUCCAAACUAUAGAAUAAAUUUACCGUGGCACAGCCUACUGAUGUCAUAUGGAGAUGUUUGAAAAUUAUGUAAUCAACUGUUGUUAUGCUUUUAAGAAUAUUCUAUCAGAAUUUCUUUGCUGCUUUAUAUGUACAUAUACGCACAUGUAAAUAUGCGCCUGAAUAGAAAUAUAACAGCUAAAACUUUCUUCUUGGUACCUCUGGGUGGCAUCAUUUGUAUCUAGUGAGCAGAGACUACAGUUUGUCAAACUUAUGGUUCCCAAAGGACACAGGUUGGGGGGUUGGGGAUGCAGUGAGGGUUUGGGAUGGAAAUGCUGUAAAAUUUGGUUGUGAUGAUUGUUGUAAACGUUUAAAUGUAAUAAAAUUCAUUAAGGAAUUUAAAAAAAAGGAAAGUAGAGUCUGUCAGCUUGGAUUUCUGAAUGAUUCCUACACACACUUUACACAUGGACCCUCCCACACACCCGCCACACACUCGUCCCACCUUCACUCCCUGCCACUCAAAAUUUACAUGGGUAAGAAAGAGACGCCAGUGUGCCCAACCACUGAGGUUUUGAAAUUUGCCUGACAGUAUCACUAGCACUACUUUCUCUAGCCAAUGUAGAAUAGGCUUGCACCUGAGAACAAAAAGCAUUUAAAAACCUCAAGAAAGUUGUUCUUAUCAGGUGAUGUUCCCAAUCUUACUCCCUCCCCACCCCGUGCACAUUUGUUAAUCAAGAUAAAGACUGUGAACAAGAAAUGCGGUAUAAAGAAGAGACUGGGGAUGCACAUGUCCUCUUAUACAUAUACAUACAUAUAUAUAAUCACAGGGAAUAUAUAUAUAAUAAUCACAGUUAUAUAUAGUUAUAACUAUAUAUGUAGUUAUAUAUAAUCACAGGGAAGGGAGAUGUAUAAAUUCAAAGAGUUUUGAUCUCAUCCAGCGGUUAGCUAGGGGCAGUCCAUAUGUCUGAAUUUCAAUAAAAAAAAGAGUUUGAUAAUAAGACUCAAUUUAGAAACCAUCCUACGUCAGUAAUACUUGUGUGUUGUUCUCGUUCCUGUCAUCAUCUCUCCAGUCUGGCUAGCUCUUCACCAAACCCACUUCCCCACCACAUGGCAGCAGGACCACCUCCCCAAAUUGAGCUUGCCUUCCAGAGGGUUGCCACUUUACUCUCUGUAUCCUGCUAACGACAUUUGUUUUGAUGAAAGUAAUAUUUCUGUGAGAAAAAUUAAAGUUUGAUAGCUUUUAAUCCUCUAGGAUCUGUCUCUUCUCCUUUGAGACAGUUAUUUUUUUUUCUAUGCCUUUCAAUAUGACAAAAUGGUGAUUCAAACAGUCACUGGGAACCUGCUAAUUUCUGACACUGUAUUUGGCAUUGAGGACAUAUGGAAAUAGGCACAUCUACCUGUAAGAAGCUCUCAGCCUUCCAUAAUCAGCCAGGUACAAAAACUACCAGUACAAUGUGAUGAGUUGCAUAAUAGAGGUUUACAUAUGGUUCUGCGGAAAGCCAGGUAACGAUAAAAAGUUAUUCUGACAGAAUCUCUGCUGAGCCUUUAAAAAUGGGUAAGAACUUAGAAAUCAGAGAAGGGAGGUGAAGUAUAUUCUGGGAAUUUGAAAGAUGGUAAGAAAAGGAAUGGAGACAAAAGGCCAAAGGUAUACCCUCAUCAAUCAAGGGUACAUAUUGAUGGGGGCAGAGAAUUUGAGUUUUCUCUCCAAAAAAGUUUAUGGCAAACAUGUCCAGAGUCUUCUUAAUAAAGCUGUGGAGAAGCAGGGUGCAUGCUACAGCUAUGUGUAUUAGACCUGUUUACAUGGCAAAGUAGAUAUGAGAGACAGGGUAAAGGGUCAAUUAGAAGUUAAUUUCAGAGUUUCUGUCGUGGCUCAGUGAAAACGAAUCUGACUAGCAUCCAUGAGGAUGCAGGUUCCAUCCCUGGACUUGCUUGAUGGGUUAAGGAUCUGGUGUUGCCAUGAGCAGUGGUGUAGGUCAUAGACAUGGCUUGGAUCCUGCAUUGCUGCGGCUGUAGUGUAGGCUGGUGGUUACAGCUCUGAUUCGACCCCUAGCCUAGGAACCUCCAUAUGCCACAUGUGUGGCCCUAAAAAGAUUAAAAAAAAAAAGUUGACUUCAAGGAGUUCUUGUGGUGCAGCGGGUUAACGAUUCAGCGUUGUCACUGAGUGGAUUGGGCCGCUGCUGUGGCAUGGGUGCCAUCCCUGGCCCAGGAUGUUCCACAUGCCAUGGGUGUGGUUGAGAAAAAUAAAAGAAGAAGAAGUUGACUUCAACAAUCUACAGAGUGGUAAUAAUGGCACAGUCCAUGGUGGUAGCAGCAGUGGGGUCAGAAGGGGUGUAUAAAGAGUAUUUAUGACAUGGAAUGGACAGGAUAUGUCCAUAUCAGAGUCAAAGAUGACCAGGAAAUUUCUACAGAAUGAGAACAUUGGAGAAUCACUAGCAAAGAGUGGAUAAAGCUAUGGGAAUUGACAAGCUUUCUCUGAGCAGUAUGAAGAGUGAAAAAAAAGACAAACAAGAUGCUUACCAGGUAGUUCAGAGUGACAGGAACAAAAGCUUUAGUACUCAAUGUCACUGAAAUUAAGUGAAAAUAAAAGUCUAUAAAGAAAAGGAAAGGAGAGACCGCACUGUCUCAAAUGAUGUCAAGAGAACAGUAUGAAUCUAAGGUAAGUUUCACUUUUUACGCAUGCUACAGAUGUGACUCUACAUUAUCCAAGGGGAUGUAAACUAACGUAUUUUGAAGGGACUAGAUUUCCUUUAUAUACAGAUAUACCUCACAGUUAAUUUUCAGGUAAAAUUACCAGUUUUUGCCUAAUUCAGAAAAAUAUUUACACCAUAAAACUAUAUGUACAAUUGGAGAAGCUUCAUAUACAACAGAUUUAAAAGAUUUAUCUAUGCCUGAGGCCAGAC
rnacentral:lncRNA from 1 species